rnacentral:rRNA from 1 species
UAUCGCGACGUAGUUUGAUCCUGGCUACAGGACAACGCUGGCGGCGUGCAUAACACAUGCAAGUCGAACGAAGCAUUUAAAGUGGAGACUUCGGUCAAAGCUUUUUAUGACUUAGUGGCGGACGGGUGAGUAACGCGUGAGUAACCUGCCUUUCAGAGGGGAAUAACAUUUGGAAACGAAUGGUAAUACCGCAUAAAGUCACGGAAUCGCAUGAUUCUGUGACCAAAGGAGCAAUCCGCUGAAAGAUGGGCUCGCGUCCGAUUAGAUAGUUGGUGGGGUAACGGCCCACCAAGUCGACGAUCGGUAGCCGAACUGAGAGGUUGAUCGGCCGCAUUGGGACUGAGACACGGCCCAGACUCCUACGGGAGGCAGCAGUGGGGGAUAUUGCACAAUGGGGGAAACCCUGAUGCAGCAACGCCGCGUGAGGGAAGAAGGUCUUCGGAUUGUAAACCUAAGUUGUCAGGGACGAACAAAUGACGGUACCUGAAAAGAAAGCUCCGGCUAACUACGUG